rnacentral:rRNA from 1 species
UUGCCAGACUCCUACGGGAGGCAGCAGUGGGGAAUAUUGCACAAUGGGGGAAACCCUGAUGCAGCGACGCCGCGUGAGCGAUGAAGUCUUUCGGUAUGUAAAGCUCUAUCAGCAGGGAAGAAGAUGACGGUACCUGACUAAGAAGCCCCGGCUAACUACGUGCCAGCAGCCGCGGUAAUACGUAGGGGGCAAGCGUUAUCCGGAUUUACUGGGUGUAAAGGGAGCGUAGACGGCGAUGCAAGCCAGAUGUGAAAGCCCGGGGCUCAACCCCGGGACUGCAUUUGGAACUGUGUGGCUGGAGUGUCGGAGAGGCAGGCGGAAUUCCUAGUGUAGCGGUGAAAUGCGUAGAUAUUAGGAGGAACACCAGUGGCGAAGGCGGCCUACUGGACGGUGACUGACGCUGAGGCUCGAAAGCGUGGGGAGCAAACAGGAUUAGAUACCCUCGUAA